GACGAGGGGUCCUAGCGUUGUUCGGAAUCAUUGGGCGUAAAGCGUGUGUAGGCGGCCUUGCAAGUCAGUUGUGAAAGCCCCGGGCUCAACCCGGGAAGUGCUUCUGAUACUGCAUGGCUUGAGUACUGGAGAGGGUAGUGGAAUUCCAGGUGUAGUGGUGAAAUACGUAGAUAUCUGGAGGAACACCGGUGGCGAAGGCGGCUACCUGGCCAUGUACUGACGCUGAGACACGAAAGCGUGGGGAGCAAACAGG
rnacentral:rRNA from 1 species